UCUUACGUCGAGCCAUCUACAGGGCUUAUCCUAGUAGUAUAUAUGAAAUCUAUGCCUGAAACAGCAAUGUCGACUUUGUAGGUGCUAAAUUCUGUUGCUUCUAAUGGACUGUGAGUCCUGCCUCAUUUUAGAAUUUUUCAUCCAUUUAUAACUCACCCGACAGUGGAUGCUCAACCCUAUUCCUUCAGGUUGUCUAUGAGUCAUUCGUUAUUUUUAGCAUUGUCCAUCUAUUUAUUUGCUAGGGCCCAUGUCUCAAGACUCGAGGC
rnacentral:lncRNA from 1 species